rnacentral:rRNA from 1 species
CUGCUGCCUUCCGUAGGAGUCUGGGCCGUGUCUCAGUCCCAAUGUGGCCGGUCACCCUCUCAGGUCGGCUACUGAUCGUCGGCUUGGUAGGCCGUUACCCCACCAACUACCUAAUCAGACGCGGGCCCAUCUUACACCACCGGAGUUUUUACCACUAAACCAUGCGGUUUUGUGGUCUUAUGCGGUAUUAGCAGUCAUUUCUAACUGUUAUCCCCCUGUGUAAGGCAGGUUGCCCACGCGUUACUCACCCGUCCGCCGCUCAGUCACAAG